UGACGGUCUGAGGCCUCCUAUAAAAGCACAAAAUGCUUAUGUUUUUCUUGUUAAUGCUGUCUUGUUCCUGCUUGGUCUGCUUGCCAUGGGGUCAGAAGGGGGUCCUGGCUUCCCCUUGGCAAUCCCACACGUGGUGGCAGCUUGCACCGAGCAAGGUCAGUGCCUGCAGGAAUUGCAGGGCUGUGAAUCUCUAUACUGACGUCGUACCUUGGGACCUGCUGGAGGCUACGGAGGGGACUGACAGUGCUACAACAUGAGCUGAACUGCACAAACCAGGAGCUGGGCAGGAGGACAUCCUGGGGAAUUAAAGCUUAAACCCUGAGGAUGCGACACAGGGGCCAUUUCCAAGGCAAGGAGGCACGAGGAGGCUGCUGCUUGGGUUGCAGAGAUGUCUUUAAGCCUGCUCCAGAUGGCAGCCCGGCCUCAUAAAGCUCACUGUCUCCCUUGCAAAGACAAAGCUGGAGGGAAUAAGGGUCUGGUGGGGGCCUGGAGGAGAGGGUUGCACCCCUUAAACCACGGCCUGUGUUCCCCUAGCUGUCACCAGGUGCUUUGCUGAAAUCAUUGCGGCACAUCCCCUGUGUGAAAGAGCAAUAAAAAGCUCUCCAAGUACUGUUUUUUCCCCUCCUCUUGAUCACAACUGAGUAUAUCUCUUGUGUGGCUUAAGUGUGGAAAAUAAGUUUUGAGCCUCCCUGAGAUCUGCAGAGAUUUCAGAACCCAGCAAAUCAGCCCUGCAGGGACUUGGGGCAGAGUGAGUGACACUCGCCCUCCCGUGCCUUGGUUUCCCCACUUGUUGUGAUGACAGCAAUGACACGAGGGGGUCACCCCAUUCACUGCACAGCCCGUGGUGUGCCCAAAAGACUACGUAUGUGCAGGCUGUGUGUGCAUGCAGGGUGAGCCUCAGCUUGGCUUAUUGCUGUUAGGAACUGGGAAACUCUUUGAAAUGGGAGGAAUUUGCA